AUUGAACGCUGGCGGCAGGCUUAACACAUGCAAGUCGAACGAGUGGCGGAAGGGUGAGUAAUGCUUGGGUAUCUAGCUUAUGGAGGGGGAUAACUACGGGAAACUGUAGCUAAUACCGCGUACUGUAGGAUGAGCCCAUGUGGGAUUAGGUAGUUUGUGGGGUAAAGGCUCACCAAGCCGACGAUCUCUAGCUGGUCUGAGAGGAUGACGAGCCACACGGGGACUGAGACACGGCCCAGACUCCAACGGGAGGCAGCAGUGGGGAAUAUUGCGCAAUGGAGGCAAGCUGACGCAGCCAUGCCGCGUGGAUGAAGAAGGCCGUCGGGUUGGAAAGGUCUUUCGGUAGCGAGGCGGUAACUACAGAAGAAGGACCGGCUAACUCCGUGCCAGCAGCCGCGGUAAUAC
rnacentral:rRNA from 1 species